GACGUAGGGGGCGAGCGUUGUCCGGAUUCAUUGGGCGUAAAGAGCUCGUAGGCGGCUUGUCGCGUCGACUGUGAAAACCCGUGGCUCAACCAUGUGGUCUGCAGUCGAUACGGGCAGGCUAGAAUUCGGUAGGGGAGACUGGAAUUCCUGGUGUAGCGGUGAAAUGCGCAGAUAUCAGGAGGAACACCGGUGGCGAAGGCGGGUCUCUGGGCCGAUAUUGACGCUGAGGAGCGAAAGCGUGGGGAGCGAACAGG
rnacentral:rRNA from 1 species